UACAGAGGUCCCAAGCGUUGUUCGGAUUCACUGGGCGUAAAGGGUGCGUAGGCGGUCGGGUAAGUCUGGCGUGAAAUCUCCAAGCCUAACUUGGAAACUGCGUUGGAUACUAUCCGGCUCGAGGAAUGGAGGGGAGACUGGAAUUCCUGGUGUAGCGGUGGAAUGCGCAGAUAUCAGGAGGAACACCGGUGGCGAAGGCGGGUCUCUGGGCCAUUACUGACGCUGAGGGGCGAAAGCGUGGGGAGCGAACCGG
rnacentral:rRNA from 1 species